rfam:Prevotella bivia DSM 20514 genomic scaffold Prebiscaffold_3, whole genome shotgun sequence.
GCUCUAACUAGCACGUAGGGCUAACUCUCGCAGAGUGCGAGGGCUGAGGAAUGGUCUCCUCGGCAAUAUUAUUUAAGGUGCGUGACCUCACCUUAGCCGC